rnacentral:ncRNA from 1 species
UAGUGCUGUAAGUCCCUCUCGAAAAGAAUGAGGCCGCCAAUUGGCGGGUGGGACGAAGUAGAGAGGGGUUCGCUA